CAGAGUUCGAUUUCGGCUCAGGGCCGCCAACACCCAGUGACGCUUCAUUGAGCCGGUCCUGGGCCUCCCCUAGGUCCGACUGAGAGUCAAUGAGUACCUGGUGCGGUGUGGACAUCGCCACUCGGGAUACAAAGACCCGAAUGCCCUCUUCUCGUGUCCUCUUCUCGUGUCCUGCAACCACAGUGACGUAUGUCGCCAUGAUCGGCCUCAUGGUGACGUGGCCCGGUCUGCAGCCCUGGCGAGGUCCUGCAUGGUGCACGGCUCUGCAGGAGCCGACAGACCCGACAGGCGCUCCGUGGUCUGUCUCCUCACAGCAAGUCCACACGUGCGUCAGUGCCACUGGAGGAGCCCCACCUCCACCUCUUGACUUGCGAAUGGCGAGCGUCCCCAAGCAGCUGGGAGCGGGGGUCGUCGUCCUUCUCGGCGCCGGCGGUCGCGCGUUCCGAAACGCCGUCGAUGUCCGUCGUGGCGCCCGCGGCGCUGGUGCCGAGCUCCCCGCUCGCCACGCG